UACGUAGGUGGCAAGCGUUGUCCGGAUUUACUGGGCGUAAAGGGCGCGCAGGCGGUCGUUCAAGUCGCGUGUGAAAGCCCCCGGCUCAACUGGGGAGGGUCACGCGAUACUGAUCGACUCGAAGGCAGGAGAGGGUAGUGGAAUUCCCGGUGUAGUGGUGAAAUGCGUAGAUAUCGGGAGGAACACCAGUGGCGAAGGCGACUACCUGGCCUGUUUCUUGACGCUGAGGUGCGAAAGCGUGGGGAGCAAACAGG
rnacentral:rRNA from 1 species